rnacentral:rRNA from 1 species
AGUGAACGCUGGCGGUAGGCCUAACACAUGCAAGUCGAACGGCAGCACAGUAAGAGCUUGCUCUUACGGGUGGCGAGUGGCGGACGGGUGAGGAAUACAUCGGAAUCUACUUUUUCGUGGGGGAUAACGUAGGGAAACUUACGCUAAUACCGCAUACGACCUACGGGUGAAAUCAGGGGAUCUUCGGACCUUGCGCGAUUGAAUUAGCCGAUGUCGGAUUAGCUAGUUGGCGUGGUAAAGGCCCACCAAGGCGACGAUCCGUAGCUGGUCUGAGAGGAUGAUCAGCCACACUGGAACUGAGACACGGUCCAGACUCCUACGGGAGGCAGCAGUGGGGAAUAUUGGACAAUGGGCGAAAGCCUGAUCCAGCCAUACCGCGUGGGUGAAGAAGGCCUUCGGGUUGUAAAGCCCUUUUGUUGGGAAAGAAAAGCAGCAGGUUAAUACCCCGCUGUUCUGACGGUACCCAAAGAAUAAGCACCGGCUAACUUCGUG